rnacentral:rRNA from 1 species
GAUGAACGCUGGCGGCGUGCCUAAUACAUGCAAGUCGAGCGAACAGACGAGGAGCUUGCUCCUCUGACGUUAGCGGCGGACGGGUGAGUAACACGUGGAUAACCUACCUAUAAGACUGGGAUAACUUCGGGAAACCGGAGCUAAUACCGGAUAAUAUAUUGAACCGCAUGGUUCAAUAGUGAAAGACGGUUUUGCUGUCACUUAUAGAUGGAUCCGCGCCGCAUUAGCUAGUUGGUAAGGUAACGGCUUACCAAGGCGACGAUGCGUAGCCGACCUGAGAGGGUGAUCGGCCACACUGGAACUGAGACACGGUCCAGACUCCUACGGGAGGCAGCAGGAGGGAAUCUUCCGCAAUGGGCGAAAGCCUGACGGAGCAACGCCGCGUGAGUGAUGAAGGUCUUCGGAUCGUAAAACUCUGUUAUUAGGGAAGAACAAAUGUGUAAGUAACUAUGCACGUCUUGACGGUACCUAAUCAGAAAGCCACGGCGAACUAC